CAUGGAAUAAUGAAAUAGGACGAAGGUUCUAUUUUGUUGGUUUCUGGGACCUUUGUAAUGAUUAAUAGGGAUAGUUGGGGGCAUUCGUAUUCAAUUGUCAGAGGUGAAAUUCUUGGAUUUAUUGAAGACGGACUACUGCGAAAGCAUUUGCCAAGGAUGUUUUCAUUAAUCAAGAACGAAAGUUGGGGGAUCGAAGACGAUCAGAUACCGUCGUAGUCUCAACCAUAAACUAUGCCGACUGGGAAUCGGGCGAUGUUAUUUUUGUGACUCGCUCGGCGCCCCGAG
rnacentral:rRNA from 1 species